rnacentral:lncRNA from 1 species
AAAUACUCAGUACUUCGGCCCGGGUACUCGGCUGUCGGUGCUAGGUAAGCGGGGACGCGGGGCGGGACGCGCGGUGGGUUUUUGCGCGGGGCUCGGGGGCCGUGACCUCAGAGACGCAGUACUUCGGGCCCGGCACGCGGCUCUUCGUGCUGGGUGGUCACUGCAGUGGGAGCGGGAAGCCCAGUGCCAAGGGAGUGGCAGGGUUUGGCUUGUGGACAAUAGAAGGCUGGGUAUGUGUGAGAGAUGGGCUGGGAACAGGAAAGAUGAACUUCACAAUUCUGCCCGAGGCAAGACCAACCCAUAAGCAGAGCAUAUGCAAACAGACGCUCACUAGUACACACGCUUACACCCACAUAUGCAAGCCCCCCACACCCCGCGGGGAUUCCCAGACACAGAGGAUAACUGAUCCCAUCCUCACCAUGGAGCCGUGUAGACAGUGCUUCAGGUCCUGCUUCUGUUUGUCCUGCCCAUCAUAUCAAUAAACAUCAUGGGGAGCCUCAUACAUGGCUCAAAGGACAGCUUUAAUUUUUUACAAUAAGGACUGAGUGUUUGCUGGUGAGGAGGUCAGAGGAGUACAUUCUGUGGUCCAUCUGGAGAGCUGGUAGGAUCCCAGAGGCAGGGUCUUUGAGACAGAGAGAGAAAUAACCAGGCUGAGAGCAGAAAGACUGAUGGAGCCAGCACUGCAGAUAUGAGUUAGGAUAUUAUCACUAUUUGGGGCUGGGUCAGCCAGUAAAGACCUAAGGACAUGGGAGUGAUGAGCAAGGCAGGAGUUGCGGGUGGAGGAGCUGACGUGAGGGGAGGCAGGACCACCUCAAAAUGAAAACCCAGGGGCUCUUGUUAAAAAAAAUACUUAGAAUUUCAAAAAGUUUACAGCAGCUAUUACACCAAGCAUGGGCCCUUCUAAGCAUGGCGUCCUGUGUGAUUGCACAGGUCACAUACCCAUGAAGCUGACCCUGGAAGUUAGGUCACAUCCAUAGGAAUGUGAAGUGUCAGUUAGAAGAGCAUUUUCUCCGUCUUGCAACCUAAACUAGAUUCUCAUGAGAGUGAGAUUUCUUAAUUUUAAUAGAAUUGCUCAGAAACAGCAACAAACAUAAAUGGAAAGCAAAGAACAGGGUGAAAUGAAUGGAGAGCAGGCCCAGAAGAAAUGAGCCAGUCAGAUGAGAGCGCUGCAUGGGCUUUAACGGGAAUGCCUUCACUGAGGCGCCUAAGAUUCCAUAGAGGGGCGGCUUAGACAAAAUAGUAUCCAGACAACUAGUAGCAAGAAGUUGCUCUGAUGAUCUGAGGUACUUAUUUAGGAAGCUUGCUGGUAGGGGAAAGGAUACCAUUUGGAAGCAGAAGAGCAAAGAAGGUUGAAGAAUGCCUGAAUUUGAAGUAAGGGGAGACUGCAAUCGGUCUGAGCUGAGGAAACUCAGCGGGUACCUGAAGGUGGAGGAAUGGCUAGGAUGACCUCGUGAACCACAGAAAAGUCAGAGCACCUCCCAUUCUCAUGAGCACAGAAUAAUACAAUAAGAUGCCCUCACAUGAGCGCACAAAAAGAUGCCAUUUCUGUAUUGGCAUCUGAAGAAAAGUCCCAGCCCCAAAACGACCCUCCUUUUCCCCAAUUUCCCUUUACUACUCAGCCACUCAGAUUCAGAUACAAAUAACCCAGCUGAGGACACGGGCUUUCUGAAUCCUAUGUUGUUUAAUCUCCACACCCACUCUGGAAAGUCAGUGUUAUGAUUCUCCCUUCACAAGCAGAGAUAUUAAGAGAUGGUCCUAAAGUCACAUUGGUGGGCAAAGUCAGUUCUAAGAUUUGGAUCCUGUUAUUCUGAUUCCAAUCCAGUGCUCCAUUUAAAUAACUACUACAUAAUAUGGUGAGAAGUAGACUGGUAAGCUUUCAUUGAUGGAGAAGAAAUCAAACAAUGUCAAUAAAGGGACUUUAUUCAGAAUGUUAGGCAGUGCCAUUCUUAAUGCCAGCUUAGGAAGAUGGAGAGACAGUGGACACUGCCUAACCAUAGGGUAAAUACAGAGGACAGCCAGGCAGAGGGAGAAUAAUCACAGAGGAUGGGGCAGUAACACUCAAAAAAAAAGGACGUACUACUACAUAAUUUUGCUUCAUCAUGACCCCUUUCCCGGCCCCUCUCUCCCUCACACACACUUGCAGAGCCCCUACCAAACCCAGACAGCUCUCAGGGCAGUCCUGGCCCCAACUCUUCUUCCCUUCCAG